UGAAUACGAGACGCUAAGGCGUCGAAGUAGUGUAUGUCAUACUUCCAAGAAAAGCUUGCACUGUCAUAAGUAAAAAAUGCCUGUACCAUAACCGACACAGGUGGGUAGGUAGAGUAUACUAAGGGGCGCGAGAUAACUCUCUCUAAGGAACUCGGCAAAAUAACUCCGUAACUUCGGGAGAAGGAGUACCUUAUUCUAUAAGGUUGCAAUAACAAGAUCCAAGCAACUGUUUAUCAAAAACACAGGUCUCCGCUAAGUCGUAAGACGAUGUAUAGGGUCUGACGCCUGCCCAGUGCCAGAAGGUUAAAGAAGUCGGUUAGCAUUAGCGAAGCUGGUAACUGAAGCCCUGGUGAACGGCGGCCGUAACGAUAACGGUCCUAAGGUAGCGAAAUUCCUUGUCGGGUAAGUUCCGACCCGCACGAAAGGCGUAAUGAUUUGGAUACUGUCUCGGAGAGGGGCUCGGUGAAAUAGACUUGUCUGUGAAGAUGCGGACUACCUGCACCAGGACAGAAAGACCCUAUGAAGCUUUACUGUAACUUGAAAUUGAAAUUGGACUUUAUUCGCGCAGUAUAGGUGGGAGGUGUUGAUUAUAAUCUUGCGGGAUUAUUGGAGCCAUCAGUGAGAUACCACUCUUGUAAUGUUAGAUUUCUAACUUUGAAUCAUUAUCUGGUCAAAGGACAGUUUCAGGCGGGCAGUUUGACUGGGGCGGUCGCCUCCCAAACGGUAACGGAGGCGUACAAAGGUUUCCUCUGAACGGGUAGAAAUCGUAUCUAGAGUGUAAAGGCAUAAGGAAGCUUGACUGUGAGACCUACAAGUCGAACAGGGACGAAAGUCGGUCUUAGUGAUCUGACGGUACUGAGUGGAAAGGCCGUCACUCAACGGAUAAAAGUUACUCUAAGGAUAACAGGCUGAUCUCCCCCAAGAGUUCACAUCGACGGGGAGGUUUGGCACCUCGAUGUCGGCUCAUCGCAUCCUGGGGCGGUAGUACGUCCCAAGGGUUGGGCUGUUCGCCCAUGAAAGCGGUACGCGAGCUGGGUUCAGAACGUCGUGAGACAGUUCGGUCCAUAUCCGGUGUAGGCGUUAGAAUAUUGAGAGGAGCCUUCUUUAGUACGAGAGGACCGAGAAGGACAUACCUCUGGUGUACCAGUUAUCGUGCCAACGGUAAACGCUGGGUAGCUAUGUAUGGAGUGGAUAACCGCUGAAAGCAUCUAAGUGGGAAGCCCACCUCAAGAUAAGUAUUCCC
rnacentral:rRNA from 1 species